UCCCUGGCAGUCCAGUGGCUAGGACUCUGUGCUCUCACUGCCGAGGGCCUGGGUUCAAUCCCUGGCCAGGGAA
rnacentral:tRNA from 1 species